AUUGAACGCUGGCGGCAUGCCUUACACAUGCAAGUCGAACGGCAGCACGGGAGCAAUCCUGGUGGCGAGUGGCGAACGGGUGAGUAAUAUAUCGGAACGUGCCCAGUCGUGGGGGAUAACGUAGCGAAAGCUACGCUAAUACCGCAUACGAUCUACGGAUGAAAGCGGGGGAUCGCAAGACCUCGCGCGAUUGGAGCGGCCGAUAUCAGAUUAGCUAGUUGGUGGGGUAAAAGCUCACCAAGGCGACGAUCUGUAGCUGGUCUGAGAGGACGACCAGCCACACUGGAACUGAGACACGGUCCAGACUCCUACGGGAGGCAGCAGUGGGGAAUUUUGGACAAUGGGCGCAAGCCUGAUCCAGCAAUGCCGCGUGCAGGAUGAAGGCCUCGGUUGUAACUAGCUUUGUUACGUACGAAACGGUAGAGCUCUAAUAAGACUUAGCUAAUACGGUACCGUAAGAAUAAGACACCGGCUAACUACGU
rnacentral:rRNA from 1 species